GAUGAACGCUGGCGGCGUGCCUAAUACAUGCAAGUCGAGCGAACAGGCGAGGAGCUUGCUCCUCUGACGUUAGCGGCGGACGGGUGAGUAACACGUGGAUAACCUACCUAUAAGACUGGGAUAACUUCGGGAAACCGGAGCUAAUACCGGAUAAUAUAUUGAACCGCAUGGUUCAAUAGUGAAAGACGGUUUUGCUGUCACUUAUAGAUGGAUCCGCGCCGCAUUAGCCAGUUGGUAAGGUAACGGCUUACCAAGGCAACGAUGCGUAGCCGACCUGAGAGGGUGAUCGGCCACACUGGAACUGAGACACGGUCCAGACUCCUACGGGAGGCAGCAGUAGGGAAUCUUCCGCAAUGGGCGAAAGCUUGACGGAGCAACGCCGCGUGAGUGAUGAAGGUCUUCGGAUCGUAAAACUCUGUUAUUAGGGAAGAUCAAAUGUGUAAGUAACUAUGCACGUCUUGACGGUACCUAAUCAGAAAGCCACGGCUAACUACGUG
rnacentral:rRNA from 1 species